CGCGUGCACUGGUCCGGCCGGGCCUUUCCUUCUGUGGAACCCCAUGCCCUUCACUGGGUGUGGCGGGGAAACAGGACUUUUACUUUGAAAAAAUUAGAGUGCUCCAGGCAGGCCUAUGCUCGAAUACAUUAGCAUGGAAUAAUAAAAUAGGACGUGUGGUUCUAUUUUGUUGGUUUCUAGGACCGCCGUAAUGAUUAAUAGGGACAGUCGGGGGCAUCAGUAUUCAGUUGUCAGAAGUGAAAUUCUUAGAUCUACUGAAGACUAACUACUGCGAAAGCAUUUGCCAAGGAUGUUUUCAUUAAUCAGGAACGAAAGUUAGGGGAUCGAAGACGAUCAGAUACCGUCGUAGUCUUAACCAUAAACUAUGCCGACUAGGGAUCGGACGAUGUUAUUUUUUGACUCGUCCGGCACCUUACGAGAAAUCAAAGUGCUUGGGCUCCAGGGGGAGUAUGGUCGCAAGGCUGAAACUUAAAGAAAUUGACGGAAGGGCACCACCAGGGGUGGAGCCUGCGGCUUAAUUUGACUCAACACGGGGAAACUCACCAGGUCCAGACACAAUAAGGAUUGACAGAUUGAGAGCUCUUUCUUGAUUUUGUGGGUGGUGGUGCAUGGCCGUUCUUAGUUGGUGGAGUGAUUUGUCUGCUUAAUUGCGAUAACGAACGAGACCUUAACCUGCUAACUAGCCCGUAUUGCUCAGGCAGUACGCCGGCUUCUUAGAGGGACUAUCGG
rnacentral:rRNA from 1 species